AUUGAACGCUGGCGGCAUGCCUUACACAUGCAAGUCGAACGGUAACGCGGGGCAACCUGGCGACGAGUGGCGAACGGGUGAGUAAUGUAUCGGCACGUGCCCAGUUGUGGGGGAUAACUGCUCGGAAGAGCAGCUAAUACCGCAUACGACCUGAGGGUGAAAGCGGGGGAUCGCAAGACCUCGCGCCAUUGGAGCGGCUGGUAUCAGAUUAGGUAGUUGGUGGGGUAAAGGCUCACCAAGCCAACGAUAUGUAGCUGGUCUGAGAGGACGACCAGCAACACUGGGACUGAGACACGGCCCAGACUCCUACGGGAGGCAGCAGUGGGGAAUUUUGGACAAUGGACGCAAGUCUGAUCCAGCCAUGCCGCGUGCGGGAAGAAGGCCUUCGGGUUGUAAACCGCUUUUGUCAGGGAAGAAACGCUCUGGGUUAAUACCUCGGGGUAAUGACGGUACCUGAAGAAUAAGCACCGGCUAACUACGUGCCAGCAGCCGCCGUAACAC
rnacentral:rRNA from 1 species